AUGAGCAGUAACCGUGGGAGGAGCCGUAGUCCAGUUGAAGUCAAGGAUGACCACUCUAAGGGGAGUGAGGGUUAUGGAAGGAAAGAGUACGUGAGAGAUCUACAGAAUGAUAGUCAAACCAGACCAGGCAGAGGUCAUGAAUUUGUUAGGCAUUCCUACGGAGCAUCACGUGAAUCCAGGAGGCAUGAUGAUUAUAGGAGGUAUCAUGAUAAACGUGCUGAUGAUGAAAGGAGCCGUCCUAGAACUUCUCGGCCAGAUCGGGAGUCAAGGGCUGACACUUACUAUGAUCAUUCAAAGCGUGAUGGCACAUCUGAUAGAUCACAUGGUGAUUGGAGAAAUGCCGACAGCAGGUAUGGGGAUAAAUCUGUUAAGCGAGAGCAGAGGAGUAAGAAUCAGGAAAAACAUGAGUCCCCACGUGAAUACCAUAGACAUGAUGUCGCAGAGUACGAGAAAGAUGCUAAUUUAAGAAAGGAAACCCACUCUUCCAGAAGGUAUCCAGAAGAAAGUGAAAGUAAAAACAAGGAAAAGUUCAAGCAGGACGAGGCUGUAAAGAAGAGAAGUGGCAAGGAAAUUGAGAAAAGCAGCUGCGCAGCAGAACCUGAGUUAGAAACUAGGCAGAAGAGAAGAAGCUUAUUCAGUUCUGUUGGUCCAGAUGUUGAAAAUGAACAGCACAAGGAAAUGGAUACUUCAGGAGGAAUUAAAGAGGAAACCAUGAAUGAUCUGAAUGCAGCAAAAGUUGCAGCAAUGAAAGCUGCUGAAUUAGUGAAUAAGAACAUUGUAGGAUUUGGAGUCGGAACUGGGCGGCUAUCCACUGACCAGAAGAAGAAGCUGCUCUGGGGUAACAAAAAGAGUAACCCUCCAGAGACAAGUACUCACUGGGACUCAAAUCUGUUUUCUGAUCGGGAGCGCCAAGAGAAAUUCAACAAACUCAUGAGUCUGAGGAUGCCUUGGCCUAAUGCAGGGUGUGAAGAGCAAUGCCUCUGCCUCAGUUCAAGAGAGCAAGGCUGGCAACGAGGAGGGUCCGGCGGAAGUCAAGAAACAAGAGGAACUCGACACCGACCUGGAGAAACUCUAUGUAGCAGGCCUGCGCCGGAGAGAUGGCCGAACCGUUGGUCUCGGCCUGUAGGGAACUCUGCCUGCAAGUGUCAAGUGCCUCCGAUGUACACGCAUCGUUGGCUUUGGCUGCCUGUUUUGCAUCGACUGUAG
rnacentral:rRNA from 1 species